rnacentral:rRNA from 1 species
AAAUACAACUUUCAGCAACGGAUCUCUUGGCUCUCGCAUCGAUGAAGAACGCAGCGAAAUGCGAUAAGUAAUGUGAAUUGCAGAAUUCAGUGAAUCAUCGAAUCUUUGAACGCACCUUGCGCUCCUUGGUAUUCCGAGGAGCAUGCCUGUUUGAGUGUCAUG